GAUGAACGCUGGCGGCGUGCCUAAUACAUGCAAGUCGAGCGAACAGACGAGGAGCUUGCUCCUCUGACGUUAGCGGCGGACGGGUGAGUAACACGUGGAUAACCUACCUAUAAGACUGGGAUAACUUCGGGAAACCGGAGCUAAUACCGGAUAAUAUACUGAACCGCAUGGUUCAAUAGUGAAAGACGGCUUUGCUGUCACUUAUCGAUGGUUCCGGGCCGCAUUAGCUAGUUGGUAAGGUAACGGCUUACCAAGGCGACGAUGCGUAGCCGACCUGAGAGGGUGAUCGGCCACACUGGAAUUGAGACACGGUCCAGACUCCUACGGGAGGCAGCAGUAGGGAAUCGUCCGCAAUGGGCGAAAGCCUGACGGAGCAACGCCGCGUGAGUGAUGAAGGUCUUCGGAUCGUAAAACUCUGUUAUUAGGGAAGAACAAAUGUGUAAGUAGCUAUGCACGUCUUGACGGUACCUAGUCAGGAAGCCACGGCUAACUACGUG
rnacentral:rRNA from 1 species